GAAGUAAUUUCGAUAAAACUUGCUUUAUAAGCGCAAUCGCCCGAACAUGCCUCAAUCGGGCUGCUCCGGAAUGUGAAUGUGAUCGGGUAGUGACAGUCCUCUCCCCUCUCACAACGGAUCAAACCCGAGGGAAAAAAAACCUGCUGAAUCCACAUAUAAUUACAGCUAACACAGAAUUCUAGAAAAUAGAUUAUGCGGUGCAGAACACCAUUUUGAGCAGAGAUUGGUUCUGAAGAGUAGUCUUUACACACUGAUGACGUUCCAGAAACCCAACCCAUAAACCAUACUUUAAUGGUUAUUAAUUUGUUGUCUUUGUAUUUAACAAACUAAGGCUGAAUCACAUAGCCAAACGAAGUACCUUGGAGUUACAGUGUCGGCACAUACAAGCUGUGCUAAACAGUAUUAAGCUCCUGCCCCAGUUGCAAGCAAAGUGUGAGACUCUGGUGUAAUGCCAGUUCAGCUGAAGGCGGUCUCUGCUAGGAUCGGUUUGAUAAAUGCUAGGUCACUGGCAAAUAAAACAUUCAUCAUUAAGGAUUUUUUUCACCUCUCAAUUAUUAGAUUUUUUUAGUCUAUCGGCCACCAAAGUACAAUAAGAACUUCAUAAAUUACUUUUCUGAUUUUUUUAGCGGAUAUCAUGCCAAAAUAUGAUCGAGUUCUUAUUGUUGGUGAUUUUAAUAUUUAUGCAUGUUGUCCUACUUUACCUAUGGCUCAGUCAUUUCUCAAUAUUAAUGACUCUUUUAACUUUGUGUAAUCUGUGACAGGUCCUACCCAUGAGCAUGGACACACUCUUGAUCUGAUUUUAUUUUAUGGUCUACUGGUUUUUAACUUAGUGAUUAGUGACCCAUUAUUUUCAGACCACGUGACUGUUCUUUUUUAUAUAAAUCUGUCCUGUACCACAGCAAAACCUCAGAUUGACUCUGUCAUGUUCUUAACCCUUCUACUUCUGGUAGGUUUUCAUCUGCAUUUAAUCAGAGCUGUACCAUCCCAGAGCCUGUCGGAAAUAAAACCGAGGCUCUAAGUAACUGGUUUUAUUCUGCCAGCAAAGGGGCUCUAGACUCGUUGGCAGCAUUAAAAAUUAGUCAUCCUAAUACCAAGCCUGAACCCUGUCUAAAUAUUGACACUUGCCAGGACAGACUCUUGCAAAGCUGAGCGCAAAUGGAAAACGGACAAAUUAAAGGUGUAGCUCCAAAUUUUGAAGGAUUGCUGGUGCCGUUACUAGAAGACUACGAAAGACACCAAAAGAAAACACCUGUCAAAUUAAAUUGUAUCGAACAGUCACAAUCCUUCUGUUUUAUUUAAAACCAUUGACCUUGUUCUGAAUGCUCCAUGUAAAGGCUGUUUAGAGACCUCAUCUGCUGUAUGUGAAAGCUUUAUAAACUUUUUGUUGAGAAAGUCAUUAAAUUGUAUCGAACAGUCACAAUCCUUCUGUUUUAUUUAAAACCAUUGACCUUGUUCUGAAUGAGAUAAAGUGGACCAAAUGAUACAGUUUUGCGGGGCGGUCAGAAGCAACAGGAAAAAAGGGUUUCUGUGUGUCUUUCUCUCAAGUCCAGUGAACUCGAGGGAACAGUUAAUUUUCGCUCGAGCCCAGCGCCGCCCCACCCCCACCCACGGCAUAUUAACCAGCCUACUUCGGAUGUGUAGUUGGAUGUGGAAAUGCAAAGAAUGCAGUAAGCAUUUUUCAAUAAGAUCUGAGAUACUGAAACACUUGAGACGUGACCAUCGCUUUGACGGUAGGCGGCGUCUCUAUCCAUGCAUCCACGCACAAUGUCCCUGUUCGUCUAAGACAUGGAACGGUCUUCAGAAACAUCUCUCUAGAAAUCAUCCUUCUCUGGAGUCCCAACAAAGACACUCUUCUUUCAAGUGCUACAUUUGUGGAAACGAUCAGCUUUCUACUGAGCACGUUUUCAUCCAACAUAUCUAUGAACAUCUGAGAAAAUAUGAAGUAGUCCCAUGUAUGUUUAAUGGUUGCUCAUACAAAACCAACAUAUACAGCAGUUUCCGGAGCCAUAAAUGGAGAAAACACCAGUCGUGCUCCAUCAAUGACUUUAAAAGUGGAAUAGUUGUCACAUCACUCAUUUCCAAUCCACCUGACUCUGACUCAGACUUGAAUGAAGAAAUAGAGCCAACCACUGAAGAGUCAAGAGAUUUGGAAAAGGAAGUUGAACUGAGAUUAGCUUCACUUUUACUUAAAUUAGAGCAUACAUAUUUAGUCUCAAGUGCGGCUGUAAAUGAAUUGCUUGAGGACCUAGAACAUCUCAUUGGAACUGUCUCUGUGCCGGGUAGUGUAGCAGCAAUUAACCAACAUUUAGAAGAUAAUUGUCAUGUGGAAGCAUCUGUUCAACAAUUGGCCACUGUUCUUUGUUCUUCACACCCAAUUCAUAAAGCAAUAGGGAAACAAGGGCCAUUGUCUACCAGUUGGAAGCGCAAGACAUAUUAUAAAAGAGAAUUCAGCGUAGUGUCUCCCUUGGAAUACAUUCUUGAUAAAAGAAACAAAAAAUCAUUACAGUAUGUAUCUGUGCUGAAAACAUUGCAGCAGGUUCUAAAUUCAGAUGCAAUUUUGGCAAAAACUGUGCAUUUGAGAGAGAGAUAUCAGUCACCAGAGAGUGAUAAAACGGUAUAUAGUUGUCCUUUUGAUGGUGAAUUUUUCAGAAAAAACACACUUCUGUCUGCAGACUGUGCUAUUUCACUAAAUCUUUAUGGAGAUGAGUAUGAAAUCUGCAACCUGAUUGGGACAUCACGAAGAAAACAUAAAAUCUGUGCCUUCUAUUGGACUUUAGGCAAUCUGAUCCCUGGUUGUCAGUCUUCGCUGUCAUCAAUUUACUUGGCUCUUCUAGUCAAAAGUGAUGAUUUGAAAGUGUAUGGCUAUGAGACAGUACUCGAGCCACUCAUAUGUGAUUUAAUUUCAUUAGAAGAGCAUGGUGUGUUUUUGCAGAAGUUAGGGAAAUGUGUUAGGGGAACGAUCCAGUGUGUGAUAGCUGAUAACCUUGGAGCACAUGGUAUCACAGGGUUUGUUGAGAGCUUUUCAAGUGGUCACAUUUGUCGAUUUUGGACAGCAUCUAGGUCAGAAAUUCAAACAAAAAGUGUAGAUAGUGGAGCAUUUACAUUAAGAACAGAACAGAUUCACUCAGAACACAUCAAAAUCCUUGAACAAGAUUCUCUAAGUAACUUCUGUGGUGUCAAGAAGAGAUGUGUCCUCUCUGAGAAACUUAGUCAUUUCAAAGUUACCACAGGUUUCCCCCCAGAUCUUGUCCAUGAUUUAUUUGAAGGAAUCGUACCUGCAGAGAUUGCACUUUGUCUCUCUGUUUUCACAUCCAAGAAGUACUUUACGCUUGCAUAUUUAAACGAGUCUAUACUAGCUUUCCCCUUUAAGUGGACAGACAAAGUUAAUUGUCCGCAUCCAGUGCCAUUGAACUUUGCAUCUCGAAAGACAAUAGGAGGCAAUUCUCACGAAAACUGGAGUCUCCUAAGGUUUUUUCCCUUCCUUGUCGGCCAAAAGGUACCUGUGGAUGAACCAGCUUGGAAAAUACUGACUGACUUAAAAGAUCUAGUGGAUCUUAUUGUCUCACCUGUCCAUACAGAGGAAUCAAUUGGGUAUUUGAAUUUCAAGAUAUCAGAGCACAGAGUGCGACUUAGAGAGGUUUUCCCAGACUAUAAUCUGCUGCCUAAACAUCACCUUUUGGAACAUUAUCCCCAUCUUAUUCGUAAGUUUGGACCACUAGUCUGUCUUUGGACUUUAAGAUACGAAGCCAAGCACAGUUUUUUUAAAAGAGUUGUUUGUUAUACAAGAUGUUUCAAGAAUGUUUUGUUGUCUUUGGCGGAGCGACACCAAUUUUACAUGGCACAGCAGAUAUUUAUGUACACUCAAAAACCUCUUCUGGAAGUUUCAACUGUCUCAACUCUUUCUGUUGAUGUGUUAAAAGAAGAUAUUGCACAAGCUAUACGGCUCAAACACCCAACAAUGGAUUAUGUGUGCCUGGCAAAAAAUGUUACUUUCAAUGGAUUCAACUACAGAAAUGGAAUGAUACUUGCACAUGGGUCUUUGGAGGGGAUUCCAGAAUUCACUGAGAUCAUCCACAUGUUUAUUCUGAAGGAGAGACUUUUUUUCAUUGUUAAGAAGCUGAGAGUGUGGUACUGGGAACACUUCAGUGCCUUCGAACUUGAAGUAAGCCAUUCCAAAGACAUAAUACUUGUGGCAUCAGAUGAGCUGACUGAUUCAUAUCCCCUGGUAGCUUACACUGUGGGAGGAGUCCGUUUCAUCACCCUGAAGAGAUAUAUUCAAGUUUAAGGUUUUGACUCCAGCUUCCUGAACUUCACUGACCGUCAGGGCAUCUACAUAAACACAUCUUGAGAUCCAACUUAACAGUAUGGCCACUCCCAUCCGACUCCUCAUCUUGUUGAGUGACGAAAGCGCAGAGAGGAUGGAAUUAUCAAGGAUGCCGGACACAGUUGAGGAGCUCAUUGAACAGGUCAAAAACGAAUGCAAACUUUGUGGAGACAUCAGGCUGCAAUACAAGGAUGAUGACUUUGGUGGAAUCUUUGUUAACUUGAGCUCAACCUCUAUGAUCAAAGAUCUCACUACAAUCAAGAUCAUACAAGCUGCUCCUGAUAUUGUUCUGAGUUUCAUUGAAAGUGUCCCAUCUGAUUUGAGUGACUUAGACACAAGCCUUGUCUCACAAAACACUAAUACAGAUGACACAAUCAUACUCAGCCGCAGCUCCUCUGACAGUGAGGGACUAAGAAAAGAGCCAUGGCCAAAGGAGUUCAUUAUCCCGCCCUUCUCCCUUGAAACAGAAGGUCAACUUCAGAGGGGGAAUUCAGAAUAUGCACAUAACCAAACCAGACUGACUCCUUCAUCAAAAAUGUUGUCCGACAUACUGGAAAGAUUGGCAGAGAAGAUUUUUUCCUACAAGGCGUACCCCACUGAUGCAGACCUGAGUGAUGUUGCAGAGGCUCUGACGAGGAAACAUCCCUGCCUGAGACAACCAGACUCCUUCAAUGAGAGUUAUGGAUGGAAACUGAAGCUGAAGAGCAAGAUGUGCAACUACCGCACUCAGCUGAGGUCACAUGGACUUUCGUCUGAGCUGAUGGUGAACACACUAAAAUCCAAAUCACGAGAAGAUGCUGCUCCCUUUCCAGCAAAGAAUGUGAAAAAGGCAAGAAGAGGUGAGACCAAUUACUAUCCUCAGCCCAGUGGAGACAGUCCAGAAAACCUUGAGCAAGAAAGAGUGUCUCUUCUGACCGAAAUAAAGAUAAGAAACAAUGAGAGAACCGUACGGGAGAAGAUGGCCAGGACUUUUCAGUUCAGGAGGCAAGAGAUUGUGGAUCAGAAGCCAACCAUCGAUAACCUCAUGGAAAGAUGGCCAGCUUUAUUUCAGAUGGAAGAGGUUGAUGCAGAGUUUCUGCGGGUUACUGCAGUUCCCCUCCUGACCAGAUUUAUGGCGCACCUGGACAAGCACUCCCCACAGCUGCUGAAGAUCUUCAGAAAGAAAGGAGGGACCACUAAAGCAAAGACUGCCACGAUCCUGGAGUUUCUUGACCAGGGUGCUGAUGCAGAUAUCAGAAGGGAGUGUAUCCUCAAAGCCCUCAUCAUCUACCUGGGAGAACGUGUUGAGGACCUAAUAAAGGAAUACAUGGUCUCCCAGAAAGAUCAAGCCGAGCAGGAGCUGGAGAGGACCACCAUGGCAGUCUUCGUCUUCAGAGAGAAUUCAAGCCUUCUACAGCAGCCCCAAGACGUUGGGAUUGUCAUUGAUGGUGUGGAAGUCCUCAAUGAGUUGCCUUCUAUUGCAGCUGGGGUGGUAAUGCUCUUUGGACUUUGCUAUGCUCUUAACAUGGAGUAUCCACAGGGUUUCAGGUUCACUUUUGAGGCCCUUCAGAAGAUCCUAAUGGAGCUUGGUUCCAACAAGAUGACUUCCAAGAUUCGCAAACUCAGUAGUGAACUCAAAACUGCGCAGUAGUGCACAUUUGUGUGUGCUUAGUGUGUGCAUGUAGUUGCCACUGGCUUCUAUUGCUGAGUUAGACCACCUCAGCAGGACUUUGAUAUACAGGCUCACAGGGGCACUUAAAUUGAGUGCUUUAGUUGGAAUUUUGGUUCUUUUCAAUAUGAUGUUAAGUAAGAUGACACUCCUUCCAAGAAAUUAGCAAAUAUGUCAUUCAAAGUUAAGCUGUGUAUGUAAAGUACACAACAAUGAGAACACUCCUUUUCAAAAUCAACAUUUUGAACAACAUAUCAAUGAGCACACACGUUAUUUCCAAAAUGUGUAGAGGUAAAAAAAAUUCUGAGCUUACAACUGAAAAGUAAGGUUAAUACAUCAACACAACUUAACAAGAUGAGGAGUCAGAUGGGAGCUCAACAGAUGUUCCAUAAAACUUACUCCAUAAACAUUUUUGGGAAUAACUUGUGCACUCACUUAAAUAUUGUCAAUUUUACUAUUCAACAGGUGUGUACAUUAUCGCUGUGCAUGGUACAUUGAUAUAGCCCGUAGUUUCCGCCGGCUUCUAUUAAAGAGACCAAUGUCCGUGCAUAGUUGCAUAGUGUUGGUUGCAAAGGGUUUUUGUUGUGGAGUGCUGUUGCCAUUUAAUGUUGUGCUCUGAGUUCAGAGUAUUAAGUAUUUUCUAUGAUUGUUAGAGAGGCAACACUCCUUAAGCAAUAAAUACCUAAUUUCAUUAAAGUUCAGAUCAGAUAAGCUUGUGGCCCAUUAAUGUGCUUUCCAUCUUUUUAAUUGUGCUUGGUAAGCCAUCUGUUGUCCUUUAUGUCAUUGCUCUGAUGUGGAGCAACAAUGACCUGUUUGUUUAUCUAAACAUGCUGCCACUUUUUUUUUUCUCCUUUUUUACAUGUGAGCAACAAAUGACUUUGAAAAAACUGUUGCUCGAGUGUGCUAGGUGUAAUGUGAGUGAUGCAAAUUGUUUUUGAUUCAAAUUAAACGAAAUAUAAAAAA